CAGUCACUCUCUCUGGACCUCACCUCACCCUCACAGUCACAGCCUCACUCAGUCACUCUCUCUCUCGACCUCAUCUCACCCUCCUCGACCUCACCCUCACUCAGUCACUCACUCUCUUUCUCGACCUCAUCUCAUCCCUCAUACCCUCACUGUGGAGGAGCCUUCCUUCACGGCACAGAGGCAGAGCCACGGCCACCGGCGCCGCUUACCUCUCUGAUCUCUCUCUCGACUUCUUCAUCCAGAUUCCAGUGCACUGUGCACCGAUUCUCCCCCAAAUCAAGUGAAUUUUGGAAUUAAUUUAGGAAUUGCGAAAUGAUCACGAAGAGAUUACCGAGAAAUUGAACCGAAAUAUAGAAGUUCUGCAUUCGGCAAGGCUUACUCCGAAACAAUCAUCACUCAAAGAUUCAGAUGGCCAAAGCGCAUCAGUUGUCAACAUGGUUGCUUCUGCAUCCUCAAUCAAUGUUCAUACUGGUUCUACCAAUGCCAUGGAUGUGGAUGUGAUUGUGAGCGUACCCUUUGCGUUGGUGGAUGAGAUAUCUGAUGCAUCACCAGCAGCAGAGGAUGGUUUGCAGCUUGGAGAUACCUGUAAUACUUGUAAGGCAAGGUGCUCAAGUCAACUUAACCAUGACACCUAGAACAUGGCAAGGCAGGGGUCUACUCAGUAAUAUGACCGUUUUGCCCUUUUGGUUCUACGUGUCUUUCAUCGCUGAGUGAAUACAAUGGAAAAGUCAGGCUAUUGCAUUUGGUUCCCCGACUGCUAUACACGUGUUGCUCAUCGGGAAGGAAAGACGGAUUGAAAAGCCGAGCUCUCUUUCAAGCAUGCAAGAAGACUUGAGAGACCUUUGUUUUCCUUCAGAUUUUGGGGCUUUUGCUCUCUGUACUCAAGCUUUCUGUUGAAAGGUUGGGUUCAAUGAAGAAGCAUGUACAGGUUGUGUCCUUGCCUUCAAAGUCAGUUUUCAGAAACUUCAAUCCUCUUGAUUCCCACGUAUGGCUUGAAUUCUAUGGACCCCCAUCUGAUCGCAAUAUCAAUCUCUUCGGAAAUGUUAUUCAGUCAUAGUGUGUCAUGGGAUGCUUGGGUGCCUAUAUUGUCAGUCCUGAGUAAUUCUGCUUAAUUGGUGAUCUUAGAUACAUACGAGCAGUCAUUCAUGAUUGAUUUUACCAAGUAUAAACAUUUGAAUUGAACCAUAAGGUUGAUUCACAUUCUGGGAUGUAAUAUAGUUGGCGUGUUGGGGCUGAUUGUGGAGAUUCUGUUUACACUAUAAUUGUUGUUGUAAAGAGUCACUAUAUGCUGCUUAAAGGCUGGUAUCAACUGAUUCAUGAUCUGAUUACUCGAGAAGGUCCAUUUCUUGAAAUAGCUUGCAUCCUUAUUGCUGGUUUGACAAUCCUUUUGUGGCUAAUUGUGGUUGUUUCAAGUAUCGUGUGGUCAGUUUUCAUGAACAUUUUAAUUGGAUUGUAUGCAUCAGUUGUAGUAUAUCGGGUUUGCUUGCACCAUACUAUAAUCAUUGUAAUCUCCUUGGCCUUUCAUGAUAAGUACAAUUAUACAUUUUUUAACCGUUUGGAAAUGGAGGAGAGAUCUUUCAGGAAAGGUGUGGUACAUGAUUGCAAUGGUGGCUGAAUUUGAUGAGUGCACGAAUGAUCGGCUGUAUCUUCAAGAGGGAACAAUCUUUCCAAAGUUAAUGACUUUUCCUGCUUAUGAAAUAUUGUUCCUUAAGCUGAUUAAGUUUUACUGCAGAAAGUCACUUUCAAAAAGUUCUUUUUAAAGUUUGGCACUAAAUUGCUUUUCUUUUCUUGGGGUGCAAGGAAACGGAGGAAGAGAAAGAAUCAAAUUCCGGAUUUAUCAAACACUUUGUAAAUCGUCCAUGCAUUUUGCAGCUGGAAUCUUUUGUUGCUAUUUCAAAGCUGGAGGGGGCAUUGUGGAUUAAUAAUAGGAAAUAUGAUGCUCUGUGGUGCUGGGAAAUGCUUAAACUGUUUGUGCAUUAUGCACUCCAGACCAUAAUGAGGCAAAGGUUCCAAAAGGUGCUGCAGUGCUUCCUAAAGGCUUUCAAUGAGUUUGUGAGAAGAGUCUCAUUACAAGGAACUCGAUCCAACAGAACAUUUACUGCUCUUAAAAGCAUUUUGUGAACUCCAAGCUCAAGUCAAUCCUUAAUUUUUAUCUACUUUUUAUUUCUCUAUGUUUAGGUGAUUUACAUGGUUUGUAACCAUUAAAUCACCCAACUUUAUUGUGUUUCUGAUUGUUGAUGUCAAUUAAAAUACUAUUAUUUAGGUUAUUAGAUUUUAUGCUA